rnacentral:rRNA from 1 species
ACGCUCGACACCUACUGGAGGCAGCAGUCGGGAAUAUUGCGCAAUGGAGGAAACUCUGACGCAGUGACGCCGCGUGCAGGAAGAAGGUUUUCGGAUUGUAAACUGCUUUAGACAGGGAAGAAAAAGGACAGUACCUGUAGAAUAAGCUCCGGCUAACUACGUGCCAGCAGCCGCGGUAAUCUGAGCGGGCUGGCAAGGC